CUACUGUCAACCCGAGAAGCUGGGGAAACCACGAUUGCGUUUCCCAGAAUGGGGUCUCUAGGACCAGCUCGGCUAGGUGUCUGUAGGAGUGAACAAGGGUGCGAGGGAUCAUGGAGAACGGGGGGGAAGGCAUUUAGGAGGCCUCCGCUCCAGUCCCGUAGGAAGGCGUCCACUGCCCCGCCGCCAGGUCCGGCCGCCAGCUGAAGAACUGUGGGAGCUGGGUGUUGAGCCGGGACGCGAAUAGGUCUAUAGCAAAAGGGCCCCAGAGAGACGAUA